rnacentral:rRNA from 1 species
GACGAACCGUGCGAACGUUGUUCGGAAUAACUGGGCUUAAAGGGCGCGUAGGCGGGCUGACAAGUCUGGGGUGAAAUCCCGCGGCUCAACCGUGGAACUGCCUUAGAUACUGUCGGCCUCGAGGAAGGUAGGGGCAUGCGGAACUAACGGUGGAGCGGUGAAAUGCGUUGAUAUCGUUAGGAACUCCGGUGGCGAAAGCGGCGUGCUGGACCUUUUCUGACGCUGAGGCGCGAAAGCUAGGGGAGCAAACGGGAUUAGAUACCCCAGUAGUCC